ACACAUGCAAGUCGAGGGGCAGCAUAAUGGAUAGCAAUAUCUAUGGUGGCGACCGGCGCACGGGUGCGUAACGCGUAUGCAACCUACCCUUAACAGGGGGAUAACACUGAGAAAUUGGUACUAAUACCCCAUAAUAUCAUAGAAGGCAUCUUUUAUGGUUGAAAAUUCCGAUGGCUAGAGAUGGGCAUGCGUUGUAUUAGCUAGUUGGUGGGGUAACGGCUCACCAAGGCGACGAUACAUAGGGGGACUGAGAGGUUAACCCCCCACACUGGUACUGAGACACGGACCAGACUCCUACGGAAGGCAGCAGUGAGGAAUAUUGGUCAAUGGACGCAAGUCUGAACCAGCCAUGCCGCGUGCAGGAUGACGGCUCUAUGAGUUGUAAACUGCUUUUGUACGAGGGUAAACGCAGAUACGUGUAUCUGUCUGAAAGUAUCGUACGAAUAAGGAUCGGCUAACUCCGUGCCAGCAGCCGCGGUAAUACGGAGGAUUCAAGCGUUAUCCGGAUUUAUUGGGUUUAAAGGGUGCGUAGGCGGUUUGAUAAGUUAGAGGUGAAAUUUCGGGGCUCAACCCUGAACGUGCCUCUAAUACUGUUGAGCUAGAGAGUAGUUGCGGUAGGCGGAAUGUAUGGUGUAGCGGUGAAAUGCUUAGAGAUCAUACAGAACACCGAUUGCGAAGGCAGCUUACCAAACUAUAUCUGACGUUAAGGCACGAAAGCGUGGGGAGCAAACAGGAUUAGAUACCCUGGUAGUCCACGCAGUAAACGAUGAUAACUCGUUGUCGGCGAUACACAGUCGGUGACUAAGCGAAAGCGAUAAGUUAUCCACCUGGGGAGUACGUUCGCAAGAAUGAAACUCAAAGGAAUUGACGGGGGCCCGCACAAGCGGAGGAACAUGUGGUUUAAUUCGAUGAUACGCGAGGAACCUUACCCGGG
rnacentral:rRNA from 1 species